ACACAGCGGGGGUCAACGAAUGUUUACGGAGCAAACAUGGGGUGGGGGUCGCACCUGGAUUGGCCCACGUCCUUCCCGCCUGGCGGAAGAGGUCCCUUAUCUUUGCGGUUGACCGGUUGUCAGUGUGCCAAAGGAUAGGAGGAAGGGGGACUGCACUCAUCUUCUUCGCGUCUGUCAGCGACCUCGCAGUGCCCUCCUCUCCAUCCCCGGAGGGAAUGACCUGCCAACCCCUCUCAGUGCAGUCUGUGCAGUCUGAACAGUCCGCGCUCUCUCUAGGUGGACUGCCAGAGCCCUUCCUCUUCAGGACAAGGACUGGAAGACAGUAGCUCCUGUCCUUUGGGGUUCCCAAACCCAGACUCUCAGCAAGACACUCAUCCUGACGCCUUCGAGCCCUGUGAGCAGUGUGAAGUAAGCCUGAGCUCCUUCGUACAACACCUGCUAGGCCCUGGAACCGUUCCCUAAAGGCCACCAGCAAGGAGAGCAGAGAUCCCAGGGAGUCCUGUUGGCUCUGCUCCAUUAAAGCCACAGAAA